rnacentral:rRNA from 1 species
GAUGAACGCUGGCGGCGUGCCUAAUACAUGCAAGUCGAGCGAAUGGAUUGAGAGCUUGCUCUUAUGAAGUUAGCGGCGGACGGGUGAGUAACACGUGGGUAACCUGCCCAUAAGACUGGGAUAACUCCGGGAAACCGGGGCUAAUACCGGCUAACAUUUUGAACCGCAUGGUUCGAAAUUGAAAGGCGGCUUCGGCUGUCACUUAUGGAUGGACCCGCGUCGCAUUAGCUAGUUGGUGAGGUAACGGCUCACCAAGGCAACGAGGCGUAGCCGACCUGAGAGGGUGAUCGGCCACACUGGGACUGAGACACGGCCCAGACUCCUACGGGAGGCAGCAGUAGGGAAUCUUCCGCAAUGGACGAAAGUCUGACGGAGCAACGCCGCGUGAGUGAUGAAGGCUUUCGGGUCGUAAAACUCUGUUGUUAGGGAAGAACAAGUGCUAGUUGAAUAAGCUGGCACCUUGACGGUACCUAACCAGAAAGCCACGGCUAACUACGUGCCAGCCGCCGCCGUAA